UUUUUAGAAAUACGGAAAAUACUGAUAAUAGUGGGAUUGAUUUACGAUUGAAUGAUCAACAUGAAGAAAAUUUAAUUUAUGCAGAGAACUCUGCUGAAUCUGAUAAUGAGUUGGCAAUAUUAUUGGAAGAGCUGAGGCUGAAAUAUGCAUCGGAUGCUUCAGAUAUAGGAUGUUUUCAAUCAAAUCCAUUAUUGAGCAAUAAUUCACAAUACAGAGUUUUCUUGACAGAGCAUACUGAGGACAGAACACAACUAUUUAAUUGGUGCACCUGCACUAAUUGUAUAUUGAUGCCAACAACCGUAGAGUCUAUUUGCUGCAAAGAAAUAGCCAAUGUCGAAAACUACAUAGGCGAUUUUUCUUGUAUAAUUGAACAUGAGUUCUUCAACAUUUUCUGUGAGCGCGAAGAGACUGUUGAUAUUAUUCUAAGAACAAUUGGACAAAUUCAAAAUACACCUCAUGAAAAAGAUGUCAACAGAUUGAAAAGAAAGGCUGCUUAUCGCUCUUUCACCGCCUGGAUACAUGGUUAUUUGGGCAUGGGCAACCGGCGACCGAUUCCUUCAUGUGUCGUGAACAGUGUUCGUCGAUCCUUUCCUGACCCUGAUGAAGACUAUAUGGGUUUCAAAGUACAUCGUGACAGCCCAGCUGAA